AAAAAAGGUAAGCUACUAAGAGCGAAUGGUGGAUGCCUUGACUGGUAAAGGCGAUGAAGGACGUACUAGACUGCGAUAAGCUACGGGGAGCUGUCAAGAAGCUUUGAUCCGUAGAUUUCCGAAUGGGGCAACCCAAUGUAUAGAGAUAUACAUUACCUAUAUAGGAGCGAACGAGGGGAAUUGAAACAUCUUAGUACCCUCAGGAAAAGAAAUCAAUAGAGAUUGCGUCAGUAGCGGCGAGCGAAAGCGCAAGAGGGCAAACCCAGUGCUUGCACUGGGGGUUGUAGGACUGCAAUGUGCAAGAGCUGAGUUUAGCAGAACAUUCUGGAAAGUAUAGCCAUAGAGGGUGAUAGUCCCGUAUGCGAAAAACAAAGCUUAGCUAGCAGUAUCCUGAGUAGGGCGGGACACGAGGAAUCCUGUCUGAAUCCGGGUCGACCACGAUCCAACCCUAAAUACUAAUACCAGAUCGAUAGUGCACAAGUACCGUGAGGGAAAGGUGAAAAGAACUGAGGUGAUCAGAGUGAAAUAGAACCUGAAACCAUUUGCUUACAAUCAUUCAGAGCACUAUGUAGCAAUACAGUGUGAUGGACUGCCUUUUGCAUAAUGAGCCUGCGAGUUGUGGUGUCUGGCAAGGUUAAGCAAACGCGAAGCCGUAGCGAAAGCGAGUCUGAAUAGGGCGCUUAGUCAGAUGCUGCAGACCCGAAACGAAGUGAUCUAUCCAUGAGCAAGUUGAAGCUAGUGUAAGAACUAGUGGAGGACUGAACCCAUAGGCGUUGAAAAGCCCCGGGAUGACUUGUGGAUAGGGGUGAAAGGCCAAUCAAACUUCGUGAUAGCUGGUUCUCUCCGAAAUAUAUUUAGGUAUAGCGUUGUGUCGUAAUAUAAGGGGGUAGAGCACUGAAUGGGCUAGGGCAUACACCAAUGUACCAAACCCUAUCAAACUCCGAAUACCUUAUAUGUAAUCACAGCAGUCAGGCGGCGAGUGAUAAAAUCCGUCGUCAAGAGGGAAACAACCCAGACUACCAGCUAAGGUCCCUAAAUCUUACUUAAGUGGAAAACGAUGUGAAGUUACUUAAACAACCAGGAGGUUGGCUUAGAAGCAGCCAUCCUUUAAAGAAAGCGUAAUAGCUCACUGGUCUAGUGAUUUUGCGCGGAAAAUAUAACGGGGCUAAAGUAAGUACCGAAGCUGUAGACUUGCACACAACUUAGAUUAUUUAAGUUUAGAAUAAGUAGUUUAAGUUGUGUGCAAGUGGUAGGAGAGCGUUCUAUUUGCGUCGAAGGUAUACCGGUAAGGAGUGCUGGAGCGAAUAGAAGUGAGCAUGCAGGCAUGAGUAGCGAUAAUUAAUGUGAGAAUCAUUAACGCCGUAAACCCAAGGUUUCCUACGCGAUGCUCGUCAUCGUAGGGUUAGUCGGGUCCUAAGUCGAGUCCGAAAGGGGUAGACGAUGGCAAAUUGGUUAAUAUUCCAAUACCAACAUUAGUGUGCGAUGGAAGGACGCUUAGGGCUAAGGGGGCUAGCGGAUGGAAGUGCUAGUCUAAGGUUGUAGGAGGUUAUACAGGCAAAUCCGUAUAACAAUACUCCGAGAACUGAAAGGCUUUUUGAAGUCUUCGGAUGGAUAGAAGAACCCCUGAUGCCGUCGAGCCAAGAAAAGUUUCUAAGUUUAGCUAAUGUUGCCCGUACCGUAAACCGACACAGGUGGGUGGGAUGAGUAUUCUAAGGCGCGUGGAAGAACUCUCUUUAAGGAACUCUGCAAAAUAGCACCGUAUCUUCGGUAUAAGGUGUGGUUAGCUUCGUACUAGGAUUUACUCCGAAAGCGAAGAAACUUACAACAAAGAGUCCCUCCCGACUGUUUACCAAAAACACAGCACUCUGCUAACUCGUAAGAGGAUGUAUAGGGUGUGACGCCUGCCCGGUGCUCGAAGGUUAAUUGAUGGGGUUAGCAUUAGCGAAGCUCUUGAUCGAAGCCCGAGUAAACGGCGGCCGUAACUAUAACGGUCCUAAGGUAGCGA
rnacentral:rRNA from 1 species